UACGAAGGGGGCUAGCGUUGCUCGGAAUCACUGGGCGUAAAGGGUGCGUAGGCGGGUCUUUAAGUCAGGGGUGAAUCCUGGAGCUCAACUCCAGAACUGCCUUUGAUACUGAAGAUCUUGAGUUCGGGAGAGGUGAGUGGAACUGCGAGUGUAGAGGUGAAAUUCGUAGAUAUUCGCAAGAACACCAGUGGCGAAGGCGGCUC
rnacentral:rRNA from 1 species